AUUGAACGCUGGCGGCAUGCCUUACACAUGCAAGUCGAACGGUAGCGGGCCUUCGGGUGCCGACGAGUGGCGAACGGGUGAGUAAUGUAUCGGAACGUACCUUUCAGUGGGGGAUAACGUAGCGAAAGUUGCGCUAAUACCGCAUAUUCUGUGAGCAGGAAAGCAGGGGAUCGCAAGACCUUGCGCUGAUUGAUCGGCCGAUAUCAGAUUAGCUAGUUGGUGAGGCAAAGGCUCACCAAGGCGACGAUCUGUAGCGGGUCUGAGAGGAUGAUCCGCCACACUGGAACUGAGACACGGUCCAGACUCCUACGGGAGGCAGCAGUGGGGAAUUUUGGACAAUGGGGGCAACCCUGAUCCAGCCAUGCCGCGUGAGUGAAGAAGGCCUUCGGGUUGUAAAGCUCUUUCGGCCGGGAAGAAAUCGUAUCAGCUAAUACCUGGUGCGGAUGACGGUACCGGCGUAAGAAGCACCGGCUAACUACGUGCCAGCAGCCGCCGUAAAAC
rnacentral:rRNA from 1 species